GGAUUAGAUACCCUGGUAGUCCACGCCGUAAACGAUGUCUACUAGCCGUUGGGGAACUUGAUUCUUUAGUGGCGCAGCUAACGCACUAAGUAGACCGCCUGGGGAGUACGGCCGCAAGGUUAAAACUCAAAUGAAUUGACGGGGGCCCGCACAAGCGGUGGAGCAUGUGGUUUAAUUCGAUGCAACGCGAAGAACCUUACCAGGCCUUGACAUCCUCGGAACUUUCUAGAGAUAGAUUGGUGCCUUCGGGAACCGAGUGACAGGUGCUGCAUGGCUGUCGUCAGCUCGUGCCG
rnacentral:rRNA from 1 species